rnacentral:rRNA from 1 species
AGUGUGUGUGUUAGUGGAAGCGUCUGGAAAGGCGCGCGAUACAGGGUGACAGCCCCGUACACAAAAAUGCACAUGCUGUGAGCUCGAUGAGUAGGGCGGGACACGUGGUAUCCUGUCUGAAUAUGGGGGGACCAUCCUCCAAGGCUAAAUACUCCUGACUGACCGAUAGUGAACCAGUACCGUGAGGGAAAGGCGAAAAGAACCCCGGCGAGGGGAGUGAAAAAGAACCUGAAACCGUGUACGUACAAGCAGUGGGAGCACGCUUAGGCGUGUGACUGCGUACCUUUUGUAUAAUGGGUCAGCGACUUAUAUUCUGUAGCAAGGUUAACCGAAUAGGGGAGCCGAAGGGAAACCGAGUCUUAACUGGGCGUUAAGUUGCAGGGUAUAGACCCGAAACCCGGUGAUCUAGCCAUGGGCAGGUUGAAGGUUGGGUAACACUAACUGGAGGACCGAACCGACUAAUGUUGAAAAAUUAGCGGAUGACUUGUGGCUGGGGGUGAAAGGCCAAUCAAACCGGGAGAUAGCUGGUUCUCCCCGAAAGCUAUUUAGGUAGCGCCUCGUGAAUUCAUCUCCGGGGGUAGAGCACUGUUUCGGCAAGGGGGUCAUCCCGACUUACCAACCCGAUGCAAACUGCGAAUACCGGAGAAUGUUAUCACGGGAGACACACGGCGGGUGCUAACGUCCGUCGUGAAGAGGGAAACAACCCAGACCGCCAGCUAAGGUCCCAAAGUCAUGGUUAAGUGGGAAACGAUGUGGGAAGGCCCAGACAGCCAGGAUGUUGGCUUAGAAGCAGCCAUCAUUUAAAGAAAGCGUAAUAGCUCACUGGUCGAGUCGGCCUGCGCGGAAGAUGUAACGGGGCUAAACCAUG